UUUGACCUCGGAUCAGGUAGGAAUACCCGCUGAACUUAAGCAUAUCAAUAAAGCGGAGG
rnacentral:rRNA from 1 species